UACCUGAUUGAUUCUGUCAGCGCGAUAUGCUCAAGUAAAAGAUUAAGCCAUGCAUGCUUUGAUUCAUAAAUGAAAAUUGCGUACGGCUCAUUAGAGCAGAUAUCACCUUUCUCGGAAUCCUGAAAAGGAUAACUGCGGAAAUUCUGGAGCUAAUACAUGCGACUAUACUCCAACGCAAGGCGGGGUGCAAUUAUUAGAACAGACCAAACGUUUUCGGACGUUGUUUGUUGACUCUGAAUACCGUCGUUUACUGUCAGUUUCGACUGACUCUAUCCGAGAAGGGUGUCUGCCCUUUCAACUAGAUGGUAAUCUAUUGGACUACCAUGGUUGUUACGGGUAACGGAGAAUUAGGGUUCGACUCCGGAGAGGGAGCCUUAGAAACGGCUACCACGUCCAAGGAAGGCAGCAGGCGCGAAACUUAUCCACUGUUGAGUAUGAGAUAGUGACUAAAAAUAUAAAGACUCAUCCUUUUGGAUGAGUUAUUUCAAUGAGUUGAAUAUAAAUUAUUCUUCGAGUAGCAAGGAGAGGGCAAGUCUGGUGCCAGCAGCCGCGGUAAUUCCAGCUCUCCUAGUGUAUCUCGUUAUUGCUGCGGUUAAAAAGCUCGUAGUUGGAUCUAGGUUACGUGCCGCAGUUCGCAAUUUGCGUUAACUGUGGUCGUGACUUAUAAUUUGCUGGUUUGAGGUUGGGUUCGCCCUUCAACUGCCAGCAGGUUUACCUUGAAUAAAUCAGAGUGCUCAAUACAGGCGCUUGCUUGAAUAGCUCAUCAUGGAAUAAUGAAACAGGACUUCGGUUCUUUUUGUUGGUUCUAGAAUUGAUCUAAUGGUUAAGAGGGACAAACCGGGGGCAUUCGUAUCAUUACGCGAGAGGUGAAAUUCGUGGACCGUAGUGAGACGCCCAAUAGCGAAAGCAUUUGCCAAGAAUGUCUUCAUUAAUCAAGAACGAAAGUCAGAGGUUCGAAGGCGAUUAGAUACCGCCCUAGUUCUGACCGUAAACGAUGCCAUCUCGCGAUUCGGAGGGUUCAUGCCCUACCGAGGAGCUACCCGGAAACGAAAGUCUUUCGGUUCCGGGGGUAGUAUGGUUGCAAAGCUGAAACUUAAAGAAAUUGACGGAAGGGCACCACAAGGCGUGGAGCUUGCGGCUUAAUUUGACUCAACACGGGAAAACUCACCCGGUC
rnacentral:ncRNA from 1 species